rnacentral:rRNA from 1 species
AUGCAGUCGAACGGAAAGGCCCAGCUUGCUGGGUGCUCGAGUGGCGAACGGGUGAGUAACACGUGGGUGAUCUGCCCCUAACUUCGGGAUAAGCUUGGGAAACUGGGUCUAAUACCGGAUAGGACAAUCGUUUAGUGUCGGUUGUGGAAAGUUUUUUCGGUUAGGGAUGAGCCCGCGGCCUAUCAGCUUGUUGGUGGGGUAAUGGCCUACCAAGGCGUCGACGGGUAGCCGGCCUGAGAGGGCGGACGGCCACAUUGGGACUGAGAUACGGCCCAGACUCCUACGGGAGGCAGCAGUGGGGAAUAUUGCACAAUGGGCGCAAGCCUGAUGCAGCGACGCCGCGUGGGGGAUGACGGCCUUCGGGUUGUAAACCUCCUUCGACAGGGACGAAGCCUUGGUGACGGUACCUGUAUAAGAAGCACCGGCUAACCACGUGCCGGCAGCCGCGGUAAUACGUAGGGUGCGAGCGUUGUCCGGAAUUACUGGGCGUAAAGAGCUCGUAGGUGGUUUGUCGCGUCGUCUGUGAAAUUCCGGGGCUUAACUUCGGGCGUGCAGGCGAUACGGGCAUAACUUGAGUGCUGUAGGGGAGACUGGAAUUCCUGGUGUAGCGGUGGAAUGCGCAGAUAUCAGGAGGAACACCGAUGGCGAAGGCAGGUCUCUGGGCAGUAACUGACGCUGAGGAGCGAAAGCAUGGGGAGCGAAUAGGAUUAGAUACCCUGGUAGUCCAUGCCGUAAACGGUGGGCGCUAGGUGUAGGGGUCUUCCACGACUUCUGUGCCGUAGCUAACGCAUUAAGCGCCCCGCCUGGGGAGUACGGCCGCAAGGCUAAAACUCAAAGGAAUUGACGGGGGCCCGCACAAGCGGC